UGGGGAAUAUUGCACAAUGGGGGAAACCCUGAUGCAGCGACGCCGCGUGAACGAAGAAGGUAUUCGUAUCGUAAAGUUCUGUCCUAUGGGAAGAUAAUGACAGUACCAUAGAAGAAAGCUCCGGCUAAAUACGUGCCAGCAGCCGCGGUAAUACGUAUGGAGCGAGCGUUGUCCGGAAUUAUUGGGCGUAAAGGGUACGCAGGCGGUUUAAUAAGUCGAAUGUUAAAGAUCGGGGCUCAACCCCGCAAAGCAUUGCAAACUGAUAAACUUGAGUAGUGGAGAGGAAAGUGGAAUUCCUAGUGUAGUGGUGAAAUACGUAGAUAUUAGGAGGAAUACCAGUAGCGAAGGCGACUUUCUGGACACAAACUGACGCUGAGGUACGAAAGCGUGGGGAGCAAACAGG
rnacentral:rRNA from 1 species